CACAAAGGGACUAGGGGGAAAGAGAAACACAGAGGAGCUAGAGGAAGCAGGAGACACACAAAAAAAGCUGUGGGUGGGGGGAGAAGGAAAUACACAAAUGGGCUGAGAGGUGAAAGAGACACACACAGAAGCUGAAGGGAACUAAGAAACACACAUAUAGGGGUGUUAGACAAACAAAGAGGAAAUUGAGGGAUUAAAAUGCAUCUUCACCUGUGUAGCCAAAAUGCCUUGCCCCUGCCCUGAAUCAAGAUAUAUUAUUCAGGGCCAUAUUACGUAUGGCAUAUACUAUUACUGUCAAAUAUUUUAGCAAAAAAGUCCAAAGCACAUACAAUAUUUAAAACAUAUAACAUUUAUGAAAAACCAGUUCAUGGCCAUUACUGUUAGUGAUGUAUAGGUAGGGGAGUUAAAUUUGGGUGAUAAUCAGUUUUAUUGCCGUUAUGCCAAUACAUAUUUUGUGUCCAGAGAUCAGUUUGGUGUGUUACUGAGAUAAGAGCACCUUGAAGUUAUCCAGCUAUCCCACACAUUUACAUGCAAUCUCUGCUUUCCCAUUAGAACCGUCAUCAAAACAGGGAGGAGGUCCUCUUCCAUUUUCUUGCUAUAGUUAUUUUGACUGCUGUUAAAAUAUGACUGCCACCAAUGAGGGCAGGAACAUUUAUCUCUGGAGGAAACAAGUACAGUAGCAAGCAUUCAGGUGAACAUGGAAGGCAGAACUGUGUGAUGAAUGAUAUGGUAUCAUGCCUGCCUCCAGAAAGCUUAGAGUAUUGUACUGUUCUAGAAUAUGUGUUUUAGGAAACCCAGGGCAGACUGGCACCUCCACCGCAUGGGGGAGAGGUUCAGAUAAAUAGUUGAUAACCACUCGGGCACUAUGUAACAAAGCAGUAGAUCUGCUGUUAGAUCUUAACUUGCAAGCUAAACCUUUAACCUUUACCAGCUGCGUUCACUUGAUUGUAGAGUCUAG